UGGGGAAUUGUUCGCAAUGGGCGCAAGCCUGACGACGCAACGCCGCGUGGAGGAUGAAGACCUUCGGGUCGUAAACUCCUUUCGACCGAGAAGAAUGGCCUACGACCUCAUACGUCGUAGGCAUGACGGUAUCGAGGGAAGAAGCCCCGGCUAACUCUGUGCCAGCAGCCGCGGUAAUACAGGGGGGGCAAGCGUUGUUCGGAAUUACUGGGCGUAAAGGGUCUGUAGGUGGCCAACUAAGUCAGACGUGAAAUCCCUCAGCUUAACUGGGGAACUGCGUCUGAUACUGGAUGGCUUGAGUGUGGGAGAGGAAUGCGGAAUUCCAGGUGUAGCGGUGAAAUGCGUAGAUAUCUGGAGGAACACCGGUGGCGAAGGCGGCAUUCUGGACCAUAACUGACACUGAGAGACGAAAGCCAGGGGAGCAAAC
rnacentral:rRNA from 1 species